rnacentral:lncRNA from 1 species
AGUCACUUCGGAUUCUCGAAAUGGUGACAACCACUUCGACCGUCCCUUCGGCUCACGGGUCCAAUGGGCUUCAUCUUUUAUGGGCCAUUAUCUUGAUUACGUGGCAAUCUUUGGUUGGUCUCGUACUUCUGGUGCGGGAUCCGACACCAACAGUCUCUACAAAAUCUUUCCUUAUCUAUUUAAGUAAAGAUUCUGAAAUCAAAUAUGUUCUCAACAAUUUACCAAAAAUUUCUACACAAUCUUUUUAAAAAUUUCGACUUAGUUAACUUCUGAUUUUUAUCUGCAAAAAAAAAAUUAAUUGUAACGAGUGAUGUAAAAAUCGGGAAUGUUGAUACUAUAAUUUCUUCUACUUCUUGUUUUUUCAUAUAAUAAAAAUUAUUUUUUAGGGAUAUUUUCUUAAAACCUCUAAACAAAACAAAGGGUUUCAAAAGAUAGCUUCUCUUUUGGCGGGUCGAUCCGCAAACCCGCAACUCUCUACGGGCUUAUCCGCAUGAACCUGCAACCCGUAGUGGAUAAAAAUAUUAUUCAAAAAAAAUAACAAAUGAUGUUUAAUUUUACGGGACGGGGUUAUAUGGUGCAACGGGUUUAGAUCAAUAUUAAUAUUAAAAAAUAUAUUAUGGAUGAAAUCCUAGAAUUAAAAAUCAAAAUUUAAUUAUAAAAUCAGAAACACUAAACAAAAUAAACAAUAUUAACAAAACAAAUACAACUUAAAAUUUUGCAAAAUAGUUUUUUAGUUAUAAAAAAAUUGAUCCGCGGUGUACCACGGGGUAAAAUCUAGAUUUAGAAGUUUAAGGAGAAUUUUUUUUUUUUAAAAUAGCUCUGCGGUGUACCGCAAGAAAAAUCUUUCUCCUAAACUGAGGCAAGAAGAAGAAUAAAGCCAAAUGUCGUUUAAGUGUAUAUAUAGAUAUACCAUUUAAACCUAAAACACAAUUAAUAUACUCAAAAUUAUUAAUAUAGAUAUAUGGAUGGUACAUUUAUAAAAUAGGUCAAAAUAUUAUAUUAUAUACUCUCUAUUAAUAAACAAAACUAAUUAUAUUUAGAUUUUUUAAAAAUAAUUAUAGCCCCGCGGUGUAUCGCGGGUUCAAAUCUAGUAGUUACUAAAUUCCAUGACCACAAACAAAAAAAGCCAACCAUAUAUUGUCCAUUGCAUGAAGAGGGGGCAGAGAAAGACUUACGAAGUAGAAGAAGAAAAUGAGUGAUGCAUGAGGAGUUGCUAAAGGUUGACGAGAUUGACACUGUAAGUUCGUCCCUUAAUUUUAAGAGUUGUCAAAGUCUCGAGUCAUGAUAAUCGGGAGGAGUGGUGGUCUCCUAUAAAUUAAGGUAAGGUCCUUCUUAUCUUCUUUUUUAAACUUGUCUUUGUCUUAAAUGAAAAAUGUAAUCCACCACACACAGAGUUUUCGUACGAUGACCCUAGUUAUACUAACUCAUUAGAAAGACUUUGAAGUCGUCUCCUACAAAACCAAAAAAAAAAAGUCCAAAUUUGUAUUUUUCUGGAACAAAGUGACAAGCGUGACUCUGUUUGUGAUAUGAAUCACUCGUUCGUCUUCAUGAUCUCUCUCAUUAUCUUCGUUUUGAUUUAGACAGAAUUCUGGAUUA